CUACGGGUUGCUGCAGUGAGGAAUAUUGCACAAUGGGGGGAACCCUGAUGCAGCAACGCCGCGUGGAGGAUGACGCAUUUCGGUGUGUAAACUCCUUUUAUAUGUCAAGAAAAUGACGGUAGCAUAUGAAUAAGCGCCGGCUAACUCCGUGCCAGCAGCCGCGGUAAUACGGAGGGCGCAAGCGUUACUCGGAAUCACUGGGCGUAAAGGACGCGUAGGCGGGUUGAAAAGUCAGGUGUGAAAGCCUACAGCUUAACUGUAGAACUGCACUUGAAACUCUCAACCUAGAGUAUGGGAGGGGCAGAUGGAAUUAGUGGUGUAGGGGUAAAAUCCGUGGAUAUCACUAGGAAUACCUAAAGCGAAGGCGAUCUGCUGGAACAUUACUGACGCUAAGGCGUGAAAGCGUGGGGAGCAAACAGGAUUAGAUACCCCCGUAGUC
rnacentral:rRNA from 1 species